GUGUCAGCCGCCGCGGUAAUACAGAGGGUGCGAGCGUUAAUCGGAAUUACUGGGCGUAAAGCGCAUGCAGGUGGUCUGUUAAGUCAGAUGUGAAAGCCCGGGGCUUAACCUCGGAAUAGCAUUUGAAACUGGCAGGCUAGAGUACUGUAGAGGGGGGUAGAAUUUCAGGUGUAGCGGUGAAAUGCGUAGAGAUCUGGAGGAAUACCGGUGGCGAAGGCGGCCCCCUGGACAAAGACUGACGCUCAGGUGCGAAAGCGUGGGAGCAAACAGGAUUAGAAACCCCCGUAGUCC
rnacentral:rRNA from 1 species